rnacentral:lncRNA from 1 species
GCGGCUUCAGACAAUGUGUGUGUGUGAUAAUAAUAAUAAUAAUAAUAAUAAUAAUAAUAAUAAUAAUGUAACAACCCACAUUGCUGGUGUUCGAGCGGGGAAUGCGCCUAUUGUAAAUAGUUGCAAUGUAGGAAAAAUGUGAAAUGUGGGUGUGCAACCACUGAGGGCACUUCUGGGGAAAAUGGUGGGGUGACUGUGUUUGUCAGUCUGUAGGGGGAGCGCCUUUGGACACUCCCAAUAUAAGCAAUAUUUGCAGCAGCAAAGACCAUCUGGCCCCUCUCUGUCCACAAUAUAGACCCUCGUAUGCAGAUGCUCUGUCUGGAAGCAGGGUAUCUGUGAAGCAGGGUCUUCAGGCAUUAACAUUGGUGGAUAAUAAAAUCAAAGUGAUGGAGAUGGCGGUGGAAAUGGUGGCGGGGGCUGGAAAAGCCCUUGGCGAAGCCAAUGAUCUCCUGGGAGCAAGCCCUGCCCCUACCCUGGUGGAGAUUCAAAAGCAGAAAAAAGAAGAUUCGACACCAAAGAAAAAGAAGAAAAAAAAGUCUGAAAGGGAGGCUGUAGCAUCGGAGGGGGGGCCUUCAAAAGAAGGCCGAGAGUGUUCCUCCUCCCCAAAGGAGAUGGAUGCUGUAUGGGCCUUGCGUGGCUCCCCGUUGACGUCGGAAUCCCACCUCCGGGACCAGCGGGACGUGAGUCUCUUCUCUCAAGAAUGGAGGAAGGGUGAGCCCUACUGGAGUGUAGGUGGCAUCCACUCUACAGGCAUGGGAAUACUUUUUGGGGACCGUAUCUUUGAGAAGGUAAGGCCUUUCAUUGUUCAUGCCACCUGCGUGUUGGGGGUGGACAUCACAUGGAGAAGUUUGCACAUACGUGUUCUGUGCGUCUAUGCUCCGGUGGAGGUCAAGUCCCGCGUCGCUCUGUUUGACGAAUUGGUCCCUCAUUGUGUGACUGAUAGACAUCUAAUAAUAGGAGGAGACUUCAACAUUUUUCUUGAGGGCAAGGAUGAUGCUAGCAUUAAACAUUUUAAAAACUUUAUUAGCAGUUUUAACCUCACUGACGGUUUUAGGAAAUGCAACCCCAUCGAUCCAUCUAUUACCUGGUGCAACAGCCGUGGUGCCUGUAGUCAUUUAGAUUACAUUUUAGCAUUGCCCUCCAUUACUUUUAAGAAGGUUCUCUUAACUGCCCAGUGGCCCAAAGACCAUAUGAUGGUCAAGGCCAUGAUUUCCAUCUUGGACCCAACCCAUGGCUGGGGCUACUGGAAGAUGAAUUUUGAAAUUCUCCAAGAAAAGGAGUAUAGAGAUGUUUUUUAUGAGAAUUUUUCAUUGUGGCAGGAUUCCAUGGAUUUUUACCCCUUGGUGGCUGAUUCAUGGGAGGGGGGUCAAGGCGAAGGCCAAGACCCUCACCACCAACUAUUGUAUCCGACGUGUCGUUUUGCAAUGUCAGGAUAUCAGCUUGCUCAAGGAGGAACUCCAGAGAAUUUAUUCUUGCCACAAUAACGGAGGGACUUUUGAUCAUGAUAGGGCCAGGAAACUAAAAAGAGAGCUGGUAGUGUAGUGGAUAGCUCUACUGCCUUUGGACCCAGAGAUUACAGGUUUGAUUCCCACCUCUAGCUAUAGUACCCUUAAACAAGGUACUUAUCCUGAAUUGUUCCCCCAAAACUACCCAGCUGUAUAAAUGGGUAAGUGAUUGUAAGCAUGUAAUAAUGGUGACCUUCACUUUGGAGAAAAAGCAUCACCUGAAUAAAUGUAAUAAAGGCUACUUUGAGGUGGUAGCA